rnacentral:rRNA from 1 species
AGCGAACGCUGGCGGCAGGCUUAACACAUGCAAGUCGAGCGGGCACUUUCGGGUGUCAGCGGCGGACGGGUGAGUAACGCGUGGGAACGUGCCCUCUGGUUCGGAAUAACUCAGGGAAACUUGAGCUAAUACCGGAUACGCCCUUUUGGGGAAAGGCUUGCUGCCGGAGGAUCGGCCCGCGUCUGAUUAGCUAGUUGGUGAGGUAACGGCUCACCAAGGCGACGAUCAGUAGCUGGUCUGAGAGGAUGAUCAGCCACACUGGGACUGAGACACGGCCCAGACUCCUACGGGAGGCAGCAGUGGGGAAUAUUGGACAAUGGGCGCAAGCCUGAUCCAGCCAUGCCGCGUGAGUGAUGAAGGCCUUAGGGUUGUAAAGCUCUUUUAUCCGGGACGAUAAUGACGGUACCGGAGGAAUAAACCCCGGCUAACUUCGU